AGUAAAUUGAACUCGUCCACUGCUUCUAUCCAACCCAUCUUCUUCCCCACUAUAUAUAUAUAUAUAUAAUCCAUCUCCGUGUAAAUCACCCACCAUUUUCUCUCCUUUCCCGUCCUUAAUUCAAAAUGAACGGCGAUGAUCAGAUGUCUUAUCCCAUCUCGGACGACCCCAAGACCCCACUUCUCCCCCUCCACGGCGAGAUCCAACGGGGACACAGCUUCCGUUCCUCUCUAACUUCCAUUUUCUCACCCAAAAACUUCUACAUCCUCCUCGGACCUCUGCUGUGCACCAUCAUAUGCCUCUGCGUCAAGCUUGAUGGCCCCUCGACUAGCCGGAACAUGUUGGCCAUCCUUGCUUGGGUCUUUGCCUGGUGGCUGACGGAGGCCGUGCCCAUGCCGGUGACCUCCAUGUCCCCGCUCUUUCUCUUUCCACUCUUUGGGAUUUCUUCUGCCGAUGUCGUUGCGCACUCUUACAUGGACGAUGUGAUUGUGCUUGUUCUAGGAAGCUUCAUACUUGCUCUUGCUGUUGAACAUUAUAACAUUCACAGAAGAUUGGCCUUUAAUAUAACAGUUUUAUUUUGUGGAGAUCCACUGAAUCCACCACUCCUCCUCCUUGGAAUAUGCGCCACCACGGCAUUUGUCGGCAUGUGGAUGCACAACGUGGCAGCGACGGUGAUGAUGAUGCCCGUGGCGACUGGGAUCAUACAGCGCCUCCCCACGGGCCCCACCGAAUCCAACGUUGAAAACAAGUUCUGCAGGGCAGUGGUCCUUGGGGUGACAUACUCUGCUGCCAUAGGGGGAAUGGGCACGCUCACUGGGACAGGUGUCAAUGUGAUAUUGGUGGCGAUGUGGAAGGGCUAUUUCCCUCAAGAAGAGCCUAUCAGCUUCAGCACAUGGUUCUUCUUUGGUUUCCCUUUGUCUCUGUUGGUUUUCUUUGCUUUGUGGGGUAUACUUUGUUUGUUGUAUUGCUCAAGGGGUUCAGGGCAGCGCCUCAGUGUUUAUUUGGACAAAGCCCAUUUGAAGAGGGAGCUCGAACUCUUGGGUCCAAUGGCUUUUGCUGAGAAGAUGGUGUUGGCUGUAUUUUCGAUGCUCAUAGUUUUGUGGAUGACAAGAAGCUUAACAGACGACAUUCCUGGUUGGGGAGCUCUUUUCAAUGGCCGCGUUGGUGAUGGUACAGUUAGUGUGACGAUGGCAACUUUAUUGUUCAUAAUUCCAAACAAGAAGAAAAAGGGGGAGAAGCUGUUGGACUGGAACAAAUGCAAGAAGCUACCAUGGAACCUUAUUUUGCUUCUAGGAGCUGGCUUUGCCUUGGCCGAUGGAAUCCAGUCUAGUGGGCUGGCGGACAUGCUAUCAAAGUCCUUGGAUUUCUUGGAGAGGGUUCCAUACUUUGCUCUUGCCCCUGCUAUCUGUCUUAUAAGCAGUAUUCUGACAGAGUUCAUCACAUCUAACGAUGCUACUACCACACUAGUGGUUCCUCUUCUCAUCCAAAUAGCGAAAAGCAUGCAUCUACACCCACUCCUCCUUAUGAUUCCUGGAGCCAUUGGAGCACAAUUUGCUUUCUUGUUUCCAACGGCAACUCCAUCGAAUGUUGUCGGGUUUACGACUGGAUACAUUGAAAUACAAGAUAUGAUCAAGACUGGAUUGCCACUGAAGAUUGCAGGAAUUGCUGCACUGUCCCUUUUGAUGCCUACACUAGGAACUUAUGUUUUUGGGACAAAUAAGAAUGUUUAUUAGCAGGAAGAUUCCCAAAUGUAACCUGCUUGCACAUAUCAUCGGGGCAAAGCACAAAUUAUCACGGAUUCCGUUGGUGAUUGUAUCGACCGAACAUGCAGUUAUGGGUUGCUGUGUUUGAUUAGCUUCUGUCCGGAUUUUCGUUGAUGGAAGCUGGGUCUGAUCUUGGUGAUUUCAAUGGAGGACCGAAUGGUGUUUUCUGAGAAUUUGUUGAGUUCUCUUUUGGUUUUGAUUUUGGUGACUGAAAAUGGGGUUGGAUUGAUGAUUCUGGGUGUUUUCCUUUGUUUUGGUUUUUCGAUGAUUUGGGGCUUGGAAUUCACAGAUUGAUUUGGGGAGUUGGUUCUUGUGA